rnacentral:tRNA from 1 species
UUCUUCAAUAGCUCAGUUGGUAGAGCAUGUGGCUGUUAACCAUAAAGUCGUUGGUUCAAAUCCGACUUGGGGAGAC